UUGUUCCUGAGUCAUGGGUGUUUUCUAUGUAUUUAAGUAUUUAUAUACACGUAUUUGUAUAUUAUAUAUAUAUCGUUGUCUAAGUACCCAAAACACAAGCCUUCUUGAGCUUACUGUGGGGCUUAGGCAAUUUGUGUAAGAAUGUCCUAUAAUAUUUAUUUAUUUAUUUAUAA